UACGGAGGGUGCAAGCGUUAAUCGGAAUUACUGGGCGUAAAGCGUGCGUAGGCGGUUCGUUAAGUCUGUUGUGAAAGCCCCGGGCUCAACCUGGGAAUGGCAAUGGAUACUGGCGAGCUAGAGUGUGUCAGAGGAUGGUGGAAUUCCCGGUGUAGCGGUGAAAUGCGUAGAUAUCUGGAGGAACACCGAUGGCGAAGGCAGCCUCCUGGGCUAGUACUGACGCUCAUGCACGAAAGCGUGGGGAGCAAACAGG
rnacentral:rRNA from 1 species